UGUUAUUCCAUGUGAUUUUACAACCAAAGUGAUCCACAUGGCUUGGCAUCCUACAGCAGAUAUGAUUGCCUGUGCUUCUGCAAAUACUUUGUAUAUUUACUGUUCCUAAGAUUUUCAGCUUUUGUUAGGCAUGUGCGAUGCUUGUUGCUGUUGCAGUGUGCAUGCAGCUCCAAACAAACCCAGUUCUUGAUUGGAGAACUAAAACAAACAUUUUGGCCUCAGCUUACCAUUGAUUAUAAAGGAGGUAUGCCACAAUUUCUAUUUAUGUUUACUCAUCCAAUCCCUUGUGCCCAUUAUUAAGGCACUCAAAUGGAACAGACUUGCACAAAAUAAAGUUACUUUACAAUGCUUCAAUUCAAGAGCAAGAUUCUUGUCUGUCGCACUGUUGCAUAUUGGAAUAUCAGGAGGAUUUUGACUCCAUGCAUAUUUAAUUAGAA